rnacentral:lncRNA from 1 species
GAGCUGCCCUCAGGCAGCCAGCCUGGCCACCUCUUCUGCCACGGGAGCUCGCUUCUGUCACAGGCUGGAAGGAGCAAGAGGAGUCCUCCUGUCUCCAGCAGAAAGCUAAAAACAAAUGCUGGAAGCCCAGGAGUUGAUCAGUUCCCAUCUGAACAGGGCCCUCUGAAAGAUGCCCAAUGCACGCACGGUACAUCCUGGUUUUCCAGAAGAGUGCCACAGAGUAUUGGAGCCUGCCCAGCUCUAUGCUCCUUGAGUAGAGGUCCAGCAGAUGGAAGGGGUGAGCCAGUUAUCUGUGGUCUUUUAACAGCUCAGGCAGCAGCACAGUGCUUCCUUUUGGGACCAGCCCAGUUCUGUUAUGCUCCCCACCUGCCACUGCUGUAUCCAAGCACGGGAGAAGCAGCUCCGGGCUGAGGCUUGGCUCACUGGUAAAGGACAAAAGGCACAUCCCAGCCUGGGUAAGUCCAUCUGGAAAAUAGCUAGAAUAUGACCAGAGAUAAGUAGGUUAAAUGACCAGAACACCAUUAGAGCGUAUGAUCCUUAAUUACUACUUCCAGAACACUUUGAUGUCCUUAGGGAGGGAGCAUAUAAAGUUCAAAAUGAGUGCUUAAUAAGUGAGAUUUUCAAAAGCAUUUAAAUAGCAAAGGAGUUCCAGAGACCGCUAAGUUCCAUGGGGAGCUUUGAAAUUCCCCCUCAAGAUAAUAAUUGUACGUCCCACUAUUUGUUAAAAAGCCUUUCUUCUGCAGCGAUAGCCUGUAUUACGUAUACACAUUCUGUAGUCAUGUUUUUGUUCUCUGACUAACUGAAAGCAUAGCCUCAGUGUAUCUCUCUGCGUGUUGUGCAAUAGCAGAUUUGGAAUUUGCAUUUUUUAGAUUACCAGACAAUAAAAAAAAAAAAAAAUAGAGAUUGCGUAGAUAUGCGCCACCCUUCAUUAAAGGCAGUGAUAUUCUCUCCCACCCAGCCCUGCCUAACCAACACAGUAUUGCACAUAUGCCUCCAGACAAUGAGACUACCACACCUUUAGCUUCUAAUUAAAAUUAUUAAGUCGAGAAGGAAAGAAAUGCAUUUUAGUCUGUGCUUGUUAGCCAAAUGUCUCGAUAAAACUGAACAUGUUCUGCUGCUGCCCACCAUCUGUUCUUAUAAAUACUUAUUAAAAACACUGAAUGGGAAAAUAAAUUUGUCAUCACUGACUUUCAGGGAUUUACACCAACUCUGCCCUCAGCUUCGUCUCUAAUGCAGGCUAAUAAACAUCUGUGGAACACGAUACAUUUUUUCCCAUUAAAAAUAUUUUGCAUUUGACAAACUUCAGUAGAAAAGAUUCCAAACCAACGCACGUAUGAAGCUGAAUACAUAGAGGAAUGAGGCCAUCUUUAAUGAGGAUGGUAAUCUAAUGGGGCAAUCUUGCUUUUCCUCUCUUGACCCAUUCCUUACAUAUUCUCAGUCUUUGCACUGCUGAAGAAGUCAACUACCGCAGAAGCACUACACCUCCCUGCCUUUCAUGAAGAGGGGCUUCAGCUUUGAGGCAUCAAAAAAAAUCUUAUUAAUUUCCCUCCACUGGUGGAAAUUCAAAUAUUUUGCAUUAAUGAAUUAAAAAAUAAAUAAAAAAUCAGACUUAACCAUAGCACCCAGUCCAAUCAUGAUUCUUCAUCUAUUGCACCUGAUAGAGUGAAGAAAUCCCAGCUGAUGCAGUGCAGCUAUCAGUAAAUAGGGGUUGACAAGAAUGUCAGUGCUGUUUCUCUUGCAGACUUCCUAAUGAACUUUAGGUCUAAUCAUCAUUCCCAGGCUCUCAUCAGGCAAUUUAAUUAACUUGCCAUCAGUGUCUUCUGUUGAAGCAGAUAAAACAUUAUAGGUACAAUGUUAUGGCCAGGUGCGAUGACAAAGCCAGUAGUAUUUGGAAAAUGAAGGAAAAGGGGACUUUCCUGAGAACACUGCUCAUCUCUAGAACCAUCAUUCUUUAGUGCCUGAAAGACAGGUAAGUAUCCUUCUGCUUGCAGGAAAAAAUGUGAGCUCUGUUUGCAGAGUAAUUGUUGUUAAUUCAUAUUUUUCUUGGUAACUCUUCUCUCUUCCCACAGAUAGUCCUCCCAGUCAAGACACAGUUCCCAAGACAGAAGUGCCUUUACAAGAGAGAUGAAGGAAUGGUACUAGAUAUCAACAUUGUCGGGGUCAGAAGGGGCUCAUAGGUACAGGUACUAAAUUCCCUGGGGAUCUACUUCAGGUGGGACAGAGGCCAUGGAUUUUUUUCAGCAAUUUUUGGUGAGAAAGAGGCUGAGCCCGUGCUAUUGAAGUAAAUGCUGCUCAGCUGAUACCAAACCAGUUGUGGGCAGCUUAGUACUAAUCCCAUCAAAGACCAGCAGUGUUUAGGUGGUGCAAGGCUGGGACUACAUUGGGGCUGGUGCAGUACUGUAAGGAGAAGUCACACCUCCUCCUCAGGCAGGUGUUCUGCAUCCUGCCAGAAGGGGAAGGGAGAGCAAGGAGAGGGCUGAAAUAUAUCUCAUACCAACUGGAAGGGAGCGUGGUUGUUCUGAACUGCAGGGGCACAAGGCAGUCAAAAAGAACAGCAGCAUGUCUUGAAAUAAUAACAUGCAUUAUUAUUUUUAUAUAUCAUAUAUCAUGUAAUAUGCAAUAAAUUGUUUCUAGCAGACAGCAUGAACAAAGAGUGCCUUUUCCACCAUCUGCAAAUUCUCCCUAGAAACUGUUAGGAGUGGGCUUUCCCCUGCAAUUCCUGGUACCAUCCAUUUCAGGUUAGACUGGAAGUAUUGUGAAAGAGGCUGUCGUUGACUCGUUAACAAACCCAGCUCUUUCAGGCUUCUGACUCUCUCACAUUCAAAUCCACAAAACGUCUCUGUGCACUGAUGCAGAGGUGACCGGGGAUGUUAUCUUAUAAAAGACAUUAGAGUAGCUUCGAAAUUCAGAAAUGAAACUUUGCAUUAUCCCCAAGGCUGCUUAUAGGCCAGCCAAGGUGAGAACAAAGAGGAAAAAGUGAAGAUGGAAGUAGGCACUAGAUUACAACUGAGAUGUGUUUCUGUUUUUUCUCUGUGCAUUUGGUUGGUAUUCUGGUUUUUUUUUCCCCACUCUCUCCCUUAUUUUCAGUACGUACAAUAGUUAACUCUGUUGUAAGCUAGCCAAAACUUUCUGAAGGCAAUGGGAAGGAAUUACACUGGUUGCAAAUAUGCACUGGGUAUAUAUGGCCUUUUGUAAAUAGAAAAGCAUGAGAUGUUCCAAAUCCAACUUAAUAUACUUCAGUAGCUUCACUUUAUAUUUUGUUACUGUAGUAUACUGGAAUCUCAGAUUGUGUUUGGAGUAAAUAGUUGCUGACUAAAAAUCUCAGCAAGUACACACACAGAUUUGUUUCAAGAUUCUGAAAAGAAACAAACUGCUGUCCCCUUCUAAAAUCUCUGAAGUUUUGGAGUUCUUGCAGAUUUUCAUCCCAGAACCAAAAAGCAAGAAGCAAGUGCAGGAAAAGAGCAUGGAAGGAGAUUGACAUCUGUUUUCCCUUCACCGUCCUAAAGCAGCUCAGCAUCGGUUCCUGAGCAGCUGAGGAACCUCUGCUGUGGAGGCAAGAACCUUGGAGAGAAGGGCAGGGCACAUUUCCUGGCUAAAGUCAAAGGCACAAGGUGCUGGCCAACACUGAGAUGCCAAACUGGAGGCUGGUCCACCCACCAGAUCUCUAGGAUGUCUCUCGGAGAUUGUGCAGAUCCGAGCAGCAGCACAAAGCAUCGUGAAGUCAAAUGUAACAUUAAAAAUGCAUUCAGCAUGGUAAGUCAGCGUAUCCUUCUACCUAGAUUCCUUUGAAAAUCAGAGCUCAUCUGGGACAAGUAUGACUCCAUCAUGUAUGUGAGUAUAUAGCGAACACUGUUGAACUUGUUGGAGACCUUUAACGUUAUCAAAAUACAACUAAUAGUAAUUAAUAUUUACUUGUCAUAUAGCCUCUCCAAUGAAGAACUAAAAUCAAAAUUAUAACCCUUCUGGGAAUAUGCCAAAGCUGAAGGAAAAGCUAGAAGCACACUAUUCUGUAAUCAGGUCAACUUACCUCAUAGCACUUGCUGUAAAAAUAUGAAUUACGUUAUGUUCCUUUGGCAUUUCUGUGGUUGCCAAUUAUAUUCAAACAUUGUAAGGAGCCUUGCAAACAAUUUGGAUGGAUUCAUGGCUUGCAGUAAGAAUGGCUGUACCCACAGAGCAAGCCUGUGCCAUAGCAAACUCCUCUGCGUUGGUCCUGGCUACAUCCCAGCAGUACCACAAGGCAAGGCCUGGGGGUCACCAGCUCCUGCCUGAGGAAAGCCCACAAAGCAAAUAGAAAGGGAAAUACUGCAGAGCACAGCCCAUCAGCAGUGGGUGACAUGCAGCUGCAAGCACUUAGUCCCUCAGGAGCAGGAUUAACCAAAUCAGUGGUUCUUGGGACAAUGAUGAUGGACUUUGGGUUUAGUAGGGAAAGUGCUGGUGACAGGUAUAAUGGAAUCAUAGUUUAAAUAUAGGAGAACUACAUGCUAUUUCUCUUUUUCCUUUUUUUUUUUUUUUUAAUACAUCGGUAUGUAAAUGGAAAGUCUGGACUGCUGUUAUAGUUUAAUUUCUUCAAAUGGCUGGAGAUCCCAAAACUUUUUAUUUCUUCAGCUGCUUCAUAUACACAUUUGCACACACAACUUUGGAUGCUUGGUAUCUUUGAAAUUCAGGUCAUAUCCACUUGAUAGGCAUGUUUGGGCCUAAUUUUUACUUAUCUUUUAAAAAAUAAAUUUUGGUAAUAGUCUUCAGAAGUAGGAAAAUAGUGAGAAAUUUCUACUGUCAUGCAUGUUCUCACUUUACAGCCAAUCUGAAGUCUACAUGUUCAAAUAAAUCAGUGCUCAAGGACAUUGCUGUCUUCUUCAGGCUUAGGGAGUUAUGCCCAGGCCCAGGAGGUGUGUUUAGGUGCCUAAUGACCAGUGUAUUCCAUAGAUGUUUAAAUAUUAUCACUUAACCAGGACCUGCAUCCAUCUCUGGGCAGAAACAGACAGGAAAUUUUUUAUAUCUAUCUAUCUAUCUAUCUAUUUUUAUAUCUAUUGAGGUAGACAAAAACUUCUACUUGGGACCCUUCUCAGCACUGCUGCAAGGUACAGGGUGGGGUGGAUAGGACGAAAGGGUUCAUCAGCUGGGAUUGCCUCCCACAGCCAAACAGGGCCACAGCUCUCAGGCUGCUCAGGACAUGCACAGAACAAAACCUGCAGCAGCAUGUGCCCAGGAGAGCUCUGCUGUUUCCAAACACGCUGCAACAGCUGCAGAUGCCGCCCAGACACAGCACAGUGCCCAUCUUGCUCCCUUACCACAUGGUACGGACCCUGCUGCUUCUUGAAACUGCCCACGUGCUUGUACAAACCUGUACUUUGCAAAUGCUCACACACGGUGCAUGCAUGAAUUAUUCCCAGGUAUCUGUAAAAUUUAGUUUUGAAAACUGUAAAAUAAUGGCCUGACAACAAGCUGGUCAUAUUUUCCAUGGUUCAUUUACCUCAAACAAACUGAAGGAUCAGCAAAUGUUUUGUAUUAACUUAUUGUUGAGCCAUCCUUGAUUAAGAAAUCGGUUCUUCCUGAAACUUUAUCUGGGAGUGGUCAGGUCUCCACACAGCAUUUCUGCUGCUUUCCUGAGCAAUGGAAGGACCGACACCAGCAAAGAUGGACAACACUUGAGUACUGCCAUCUGUGAUACAAUCAACAGAGCCCCACAGCACUGUUGUUUGGAUCAUUUGGUGCCCAGUUCUGCUCCCACCGAGUUCACAAGAGUUUGUGAUGGGGCAUGUUCAGGCUUCCAGUGUAUUAGUAAUAAUGCUAAUGAUAUUGUAUGCUUUGCCUGCAUUACAGUCUGGUGCUUAGAAAAUAAACAUCUCGGCUUUGCCUCAGUGUUUAUCUCCAAUAAAUACCUCAGCUUUGCCUCAACAAUUAUCUCUUCACAGCAGACCAUUAUCCAGCAGCAACAUAUAAUUCCAUUAACAUUACCGUUUAAAAUAUAUCCUCUCCGUGCUGCAGGGAAAGGAGCUGUGUGUGGGAAAUGUCAGGGGCACCAUGCAUUUUUGGAAUUAAAAUUAAAUCA